rnacentral:rRNA from 1 species
UCUUAGCGGCGGACGGGUGAGUAACGUGUGGGCAACCUGCCUCAUACAGAGGGAUAAUCAUGUGAAAACGUGACUAAUACCGCAUGUCAUUUGUUGAAGGCAUCUUCGACAAAGAAAAGGAGCAAUCCGGUAUGAGAUGGGCCCGCAUCUGAUUAGCUAGUUGGUGAGAUAACAGCCCACCAAGGCGACGAUCAGUAGCCGACCUGAGAGGGUGAUCGGCCACAUUGGGACUGAGACACGGCCCAAACUCC